GGAGGCAGCAGUAGGGAAUAUUGGUCAAUGGACGCAAGUCUGAACCAGCCAUGCCGCGUGAAGGAUGAAGGCCCUCUGGGUCGUAAACUUCUUUUAUUAGGGAAGAAAACAUGGGAUGCGUCCCAAACUGACGGUACUUAAUGAAUAAGGAUCGGCUAACUUCGUGCCAGCAGCCGCGGUAAGACGAGGGAUCCUAGC
rnacentral:rRNA from 1 species